UAUCAAGACAUGAUUUAAUUAGUGAGUACA
rnacentral:piRNA from 1 species